UACGUAGGGUGCGAGCGUUAAUCGGAAUUACUGGGCGUAAAGCGUGCGCAGGCGGUGAUGUAAGACAGGUGUGAAAUCCCCGGGCUUAACCUGGGAACUGCAUUUGUGACUGCAUCGCUGGAGUGCGGCAGAGGGGGAUGGAAUUCCGCGUGUAGGGGUGAAAUGCGUAGAUAGUCGGAGGAAAACCGAUGGCGAUGGAAUGCCCCUGGGCAUGGAAUGACGCUCAUGCACGAGUGAGUGGGGAUGAGGGAGG
rnacentral:rRNA from 1 species